UACGGAGGGUGCAAGCGUUAUCCGGAUUCACUGGGUUUAAAGGGUGCGUAGGCGGAUUCUUAAGUCCGUGGUGAAAUCUCCAAGCUUAACUUGGAAACUGCCAUGGAUACUAUUAGUCUUGAAUGUUGUGGAGGUUAGCGGAAUAUGUCAUGUAGCGGUGAAAUGCAUAGAUAUGACAUAGUACACCAAUUGCGAAGGCAGCUGGCUACACAAAUAUUGACGCUGAGGCACGAAAGCGUGGGGAUCAAACAGG
rnacentral:rRNA from 1 species